UAAACAGAGAAGUACAAAAGGCAAAAUAAUACAUUAAAACUCCAUUAGCACUACAUUACUUUCAUUAGUAAUUCAUUAGCACCAGAAAGUUAGCAAACACAUCAAGUAAACUCAACAUUAUCAUACACAAAUAACUACAAUUUAACUACAUUGUUGCCUCUUGUGGGGAAAUAACCAAAUAAAAGCAAUAUAACAAAUAUAGUGAAUAACGCAAACUUUACAAGCAUGAAUAUCACUGUAUUGUGGUCACUUACACUUAGCUUUAAUGAUAAAUUUGCAGGGUUGGAUAAUUACAAAAAUAAGUAACUAUAAUCAGCCCAGAUUACAUUUGUGCAAUUAGAUUAUAGUAACAUUGUCAAGGAUUUCCUGAUUACAUACUUGAUUACAUACCGUUA